AUUGAACGCUGGCGGCAGGCCUAACACAUGCAAGUCGAGCGGAUGAAGGGAGCUUGCUCCUGGAUUCAGCGGCGGACGGGUGAGUAAUGCCUAGGAAUCUGCCUGGUAGUGGGGGAUAACGUCCGGAAACGGGCGCUAAUACCGCAUACGUCCUGAGGGAGAAAGUGGGGGAUCUUCGGACCUCACGCUAUCAGAUGAGCCUAGGUGGGAUUAGCUAGUUGGUGGGGUAAAGGCUUACCAAGGCGACGAUCCGUAACUGGUCUGAGAGGAUGAUCAGUCACACUGGAACUGAGACACGGUCCAGACUCCUACGGGAGGCAGCAGUGGGGAAUAUUGGACAAUGGGCGUAAGCCUGAUCCAGCCAUGCCGCGUGUGUGAAGAAGGUCUUCGGAUUGUAAAGCACUUUGAGUUGGGAGGAAGGGCAGUAAGUUAAUACCUUGCUGUUUUGACGUUACCAACAGAAUAAGCACCGGCUAACUUCGUG
rnacentral:rRNA from 1 species